CCAAGGGACCACUAUUCCCCGGGGGCUCCGGGUUUGGUCUUCCUACGGACGGUGCUGCGCCAGGGCCCUGAGCCAUAAGGGGGGUGGGGGAGGGGUGGGGAGAUCCCAGCACUGAACCCUUCUGCGCCGCUAGUUCUUAUGUAUUUUACGUGGAGGGGUGACUCGGGCUUUCCCCCAAGACUUAAAGAAAAGAGGGAGCUGUAGGGGCUCUUCUUUAAUAAGCCGAAGCUCUUGCAAGGAGGAGGGCACCGAAAGUAGUGGAGCUCAGGUACGUCAACCUAGUUGCAGUGGCCACAGAUGCAUUUAAUUUAUAGAUCCCUGUAUAUAGUUGUUGACAUAUGCACUAGAAGCUAUAAUUACAUAGAACUACAUGUAUCCUCCCACACCCUGGGUAGCUACUGACUGAUGGGGUUAAGCAAGGGCUAUUUGCUGGCCCCCAAAGUGCAGCUAGCCAGAAGGGCACAAACACUUUUUACAUUACCCAUUUUUUUACCUUUUCCCCCUCCUAUUUCAGAAAGAUAGGUUUAUGACACAAAAGAGUGUAAUUGUUCUCAAACCUGUUGAAAGGACGAUGGAAAACCUUUGGAGAAGUAGAAGCAGUUUGGGGAGGGCGGGGAAUGUACCGGUCCCCUCCUCUUCCCACCCUAGUGCCCCCACCUAAGAGGCUUUCUGUUGCAGCCCUAAGUAUCUGGAUACCCGCCAGGGAAGAAAGGAAGGGAAAGAGCAAUAUCUCUGUGCUUCAACCCUUGGCCUCACAGAGGUUAGGAAGAGCAAGCUUUUAAUCCUUUGAACUGGCAGGAGAACAUCUGGGAGUCCAGUCCCCUGUCCCCAUUCUGACCCCUGCAUUCUGGACUGUUGAAUCCACUCUGGGAUGGAUCGGCGUCUAGAGAGACCACUCGUGGGUUCAGCUGUUGGCCUCCUGACUCUAAUGCCUUCACUGGAAUUGGGACAUCAGCUCCAGCCCCAGUUGUGAGCGUGACCAGAGACAUUAUUUAUAAUUCAGCCAUUUAAGAUAUACCUGUACUCAAAAAGUCCUGUAUAUUUUUUAAAAGUUUUAUUUUUCAGGUGAACAAAAAUACAUUCUAAGAACUCUACGUCA